UAGCUUUGGCCCUGGACUUACAGGUUUGACAAAAUCCAAUAGCUUUGAUUAAAACUUUUUAUUUCUAUGACAAAAAAUCAGUUUAUUUGAAUUUAAAUUCGUAUAAACAGAAACAUGUAUAUUUUUGUGAAAUAAAGUGAGUUUUCGAAAGAGACUGAGUUACCUACAAAAUAUUCUCAGAAAAGCCUGCAAGUAUUAAAUAAAUGGCUUGUUGUAUAAUAAAGAAAUAUAUAAUCUGAAGUCUUUGUCAUCAAUUUCGUUGUCAGUUAAUCUAUUUCUCUAAUGCAAAUGGAACAUUUUGUUGACAAAUUAAAGCAAAACUAAAUAUUACGUGCAUUGUUGUUAAAAAAGGAAAGAACUGCUGCUUUUCCUUUAUAAGUAUUGGUUAAAAUUUACUUUCCUUCUACUUUAUGGUUAAUAGUAGAAUAUUUAUUUUGCUUUUUUAAUCUAGAAAUAUCUUGGAAUAUUUAUGUUUCUUUCUGAGUCUAGAAUUUUUAUUAAUUACAUAAUACAAUUUACUUUCUUUUAAUUUAGUAUCUAUAAAGAAAAUAACAUAUUUUCCUUUAUUUUAUUCUCAUUUGUUCCCUAUAUAUAGUGAUAUAGUCUUUUAUUUCUAUUGCUAGAAACAAUAUAAUAAAUCAAUGCAAUGAAUAUAUUCUUUCUUCGAUUUUCUCUCCCGUUUCUUCGAUUCCAUAACAAGAAUAUCUAUAGAUUAGAAGCUGAUGACGUGUCUCACAAAGACCAAACUCAGCAAGAAUAUUAUUUAUAAUUUAUACCAUCUUUAGACCAUAAAAUACAUAUGAUUUUGAGAACAUUAUAUACGGCAAAUUCGGCUUUUCUCCAUUUUUUUCAAGUUCUAGCUUGGAUUGGAGACAUAUGUCAUAGUUUAGAAUUAAUGAUUGAGAUUUAAUUGAUUAAAGUAAAGUUCUAAUCAUAAUUAUUUAAUUCCAUAUAUUUGCUUCUUAAAUAUUUUUGCAAUCCAUUAUAUUUUCCCUAAAUAUAUAUUUUUUUAAAUCUUUACCGCCAUGCAUACAUAUUUAAAACUUUUACUAAAUAUUUUUACUUUUUUUGAAAAAAAUUAUAAUACAGUUAAACAUUUUUAAUAUUCUAAUAGAGUAUUAAGAGCUACAAUGUCUAUAGAGCAAUAUAGACUCCAUUUAGGGAAAAAGAAAGAAUUUAAAGUUGAAAAAAAUUAUUUUACUCUUAAAAUUAAAAAAAAACGUCAAGUCACAAUUUUUAAUUUUUUUAUUUGACAAAUAUUAUUUGAGAAAUGGAAAACCUUAGGGAAAAAAAGUAAAAUAUCAGCAAAAAAUUACUCAAGUAAUUAAGAAAAAAUUAAUUAUAUUUAGGACAAAUAUAAUGUAAAUCUAGAAUUGUUGGAUUGCAAAAAUAUUUAAGAAGAAAACAUAUGAAAGUAAAUAACUAUAUAAGACUUUGCUUUAAUCAAUUAGAUCUCAACCAUUAAUUUUAAACUAUGACAUAUGUCUCCAAUCCAAGCUAGAACUUGGGGAAAAUGGAGACAAGAGAAAUGGUGAGGAGCCGGAUCUACUAAGAUUGUAAUUCCUGCCAAUAAAUAUACUCCCCCCAUCUCAAUUUAUGUGACACGUUUCAAAUUUCGAGAUUCCAACAAGUCUAUCUUUGAUCGUAAUUUUUUUUCAUAUAUCUUUUAAAUAUUUUAGAUUGUCAAUUAUUGUGACUUAUAGUACUUUUUACGUAGUUUACACAUAUAUAAAUUUUAUUUCCAAAAAAAUUGAAGAUUUUAUGCACAAAUCUUCGAUCAAAUUUAAAUUGUUUGACUCUCGAAAAACAAAACGUGUCACAUAAAUUGGGACAAGGGAGUAUAAAACUGUACUAUUGUGUAUAUGUUCACAAGGAAUCAAGCUUCAGUUACGAAUAAUGGAGAUAAUCUAUACCGUACUCUAAUAUUUUAGGCAACUAUACGUUCAAAUGUAUAUACAUAUUAGGAAAUAUUUCUUAUGCUAUAGUACAAGGUAGGAGUCAAUGUCAAACCUCCAUCACAACAGAAGGUGAAUGACUUAAUUUUAAAAUGUAUAUAUAUAUAUAUAUAAUACAAUUACAUUAUUAUGCAAUAUUAAGUUUAAUCAAGUGAUAUACACUUGCAAAAAGCCUUCAAUAUUCUUCGAACUCAUAACACUUUAUACUCAAACUGUGACCCUAUAGAGCUCAAAGAGUUGAGCACAUUUAACCACAUUAUAUUAAUUUUCAUAGUACAUAACUAUAUGGUUCCUGUUCAACUAAUUGCAUGGCAAACGAAAGAAAUUUAAGGCACUUUUAGAACCAAAAAACUUAUUAAUAUAUAGUACGUAAAUAGCAUAUAUCCUCGAGAAAUUGUAUACCUUCAUGUUGGUCGAAAAAAAUAAUUAUUUUCGAUCUUCAAACUCCCCCAAAGUAGGCGCUGAGCUUGAACAAGUGCCAAAAUAAGAUGAAAAUCUUGGAUUGUUUUCAUCUUCUUGCUGGUGAUUAAUAUACGUUGGUUCUUGUUGUACGUCAUGAGAUGCUUGUUGUACCAAAUAUGUCAUCGAUGAUGAUUUCAAAGGUUCCACAAAAUUCAGUGCUUUAGGAUUGAACCCUGCUAUAUAUAUAUGUGUGUGAAAAACAAGUAUAAAUAGGGAUUCAUUAGAGUUAGAUGAAUACAAAAUUAAGUAAAUAUAAGUAUGUUGUUUCUAACGACUUAAAUUUUUAGAUAAGACCGUUACACACACAAAACCUGCUUAUUUUGUGUUUCAAAAAAGUAGGUUUGAAGAGUAGUACUUUAUGUUUGCUUAAUCAAUUUGAAAAAUACUUUGCUGAUAUUCGAGCAUCAAUUUAUGUUUAGCCAAAUACCUAAUUUUCAACUUCUGGAAAAAAAAUUAUGCUACUGCGUACUCAAAUCAUUUACAGUACUCUUACCUGUAGGGUGAUAAGAACUCGGCGAGACGCCAAAGUUCAAAUCAUCAGCAUUAUGAUUACUUCCACCUGCGGGAGCGUAGUGAUGUUGUAAUUGAUCAGAAUUUGGGAGAAAUUUAUUGGCUGGAAAUUGAUUAGUAGUAGUAAUUAGGUAUGAUAUCCCAAAUUGAUCAGUUGCGGAUUGAACCCGUUCUGGAAAGUUGAGUUUAGCUUUGUUUCCUUUAAAUUUAAGUGCAGCUUCAUCAUAUGCAAUUGCAGCAUCUUCCGCAGUGUGAAAAGUACCCAACCAUACUCGAGCAGCUUUUUCCGGGUCACGGAUUUCGGCCGCCCAUUUACCCCAAGGUCUUUGCCUCACACCUCUGUACUGUCUUCUUCUCCUUUCAUUAUUCCCUUCACACAAUACACAAAUAAAAACAGUUUAAAAUACGUUUGUUGUAUAAAUUUGUCAUCGAAUCUUCAGGAAAAUAAAACCCUAGAUAAUAAAAUUUGGUUGAUUAUGAAUUAUGAUCGAAGAUAUAUAUAUAUAUAUAUGAGUACCUUGUUGCUGAUUGAGCUGAGGUAAUUGGUUUUGCAUAGCUGCAGUAGUACUAGACCGAUGAUUUAGGGUUAAUAAUGGCUUAUGAUGUGCGGAGGAGGAGGAAGAAGAAUUUGUGUUAGUCCUACUUUUGUUGCCAAUAACUUGAGAGAGGACAGAAACCAUAGUAGACAUAUCAUGUUGAGAUCGAGCUGAUGAAUACAUUUGAUUAUUAUUCGUAUCUUCUUUCUCCUCCGAUUCAUAGGGCCUCUUCCCAUGUCUAGUUCGAUCCAUUUUUUUUAUUCUUUCACUAUAUAUAUGAUUCAUUCAUAUGUACGAACUUAUUAACUUUGUAUAUUACUAACUACAGAAAGAAGAGAAAACUAAGAAACUGAAGAAUGAAAUGCUAGGGUUUAUAACUGAUAGUCUAUAUCUAGACUGAGUGGGGAAGUUAUAAUUAGAAUAUUUGUUGUUUUUGGUCAUACUAAUUUAUUUGUCGUUAAUUGAUGAUUUUUCAAUGCUGUUUUUUCAGUGGAGUCGACUAUACUCGAAAAUGGAUGUCAUCCUCAAGAGAUCAUAGUGUAUAUAUACGAAAUGUAAUUAAAAAAAUGUCAUUUUUUAGGUCUUUUUUGGUGGACAAAAUCUUUGAGACCUAUCAAGUCGAGACAGAUCGACUAAUACUUUUUUUCCCAACCUAUGAUAGAGGAUCAAUAGUAUUUUUACUUAACCUUCAAUCUAUCGGUUAAUGAUAUCAACUGCUUGAGCAAGCCUUAUCGAGAUGGACCGAUAGACCAAAGCAUAUUUGGUAUCACGUGCGUGCUUUGAGGGCGUAUUUGAAAGGGUAUUUUCGUGUAUGCAAGUUAUAUAUGUACAAUUUUCUCUAUGUAUCUCCUUCUCCACCUGUAAUAUAAUAAACUAUGAAAUAUAAUUAUUUUAGAAAGAGUCAA
rnacentral:lncRNA from 1 species